AUGAACGCUGGCGGCGUGCCUAAUACAUGCAAGUCGAGCGAACGGACGAGAAGCUUGCUUCUCUGAUGUUAGCGGCGGACGGGUGAGUAACACGUGGAUAACCUACCUAUAAGACUGGGAUAACUUCGGGAAACCGGAGCUAAUACCGGAUAAUAUUUUGAACCUCAUGGUUCAAAAGUGAAAGACGGUCUUGCUGUCACUUAUAGAUGGAUCCGCGCUGCAUUAGCUAGUUGGUAAGGUAACGGCUUACCAAGGCAACGAUGCAUAGCCGACCUGAGAGGGUGAUCGGGCACACUGGAACUGAGACACGGUCCAGACUCCUACGGGAGGCAGCAGUAGGGAAUCUUCCGCAAUGGGCGAAAGCCUGACGGAGCAACGCCGCGUGAGUGAUGAAGGUCUUCGGAUCGUAAAACUCUGUUAUUAGGGAAGAACAUAUGUGUAAGUAACUGUGCACAUCUUGACGGUACCUAAUCAGAAAGCCACGGCUAACUACGUG
rnacentral:rRNA from 1 species